GUGAUGCCUGUGAUGACGCCUGUGACGCCUGUGACGCCUGUGAUGCCUGUGAUGCCUGUGAUGCCUGUGAUGCCUGUGAUGAUGCCUGUGACGCCUGUGAUGCCUGUGAUGCCUGUGACACCUGUGAUGCCUGUGAUGCCUGUGAUGCCUGUGACACCUGUGAUGCCUGUGAUGCCUGUGAUGACGCCUGUGAUGCCUGUGAUGCCUGUGAUGCCUGUGAUGCCUGUGAUGACGCCUGUGACGCCUGUGAUGCCUGUGAUGCCUGAGCUGCCU
rnacentral:lncRNA from 1 species